CUGACGGUCAUCAUGUUCAGCCUAAACCAAGCACCUCUGCUCUCUGUUCAACUAUUAGUUAUCGGCCGAGUCUUUGCAGUGAUUCAUAAGGUUGACCGCAGGGAUGAACCGGUGCUCAGAGGAGACUCCAUCAGUUUUGAUUGCAACACAUCGAAGGCCGAUACAACACAAAUCAUCUGGACCAAAGACCAAAGAUCUUUGUUUGCUUAUUUUGUCUUAAAGAAUCAGACUUUUUCAAAUUUCUCCUCUCCCAGACUGAGAAUAGACCAAAACUUUCCUUCAGUGCUGAAUGUUUCUGAUGCUCAGCAUGAAGAUGCAGGACUCUAUAAAUGUGUUGUAGCUGGUAACGAUGGUUUAAGGACUACUCAGUGGAAUUUAACAGUGUCAGAGAAACCUGAAGAAGUCAGUUCUUCGUGGUAUUUUCCAUACAUACUCGCAGCUGUAAUUGGAUUACUUCUUUGUGGCAUCGCUCCAGCUGUCUGCCUCUGCAG